GGGUGAGUAACGCGUAGGUAACCUACCCUUGUAUCGGGAAUAACCCCGCGAAAGCGGUGCUAAUACCGGAUACGAUCCCGGGGCGGGAGUUUCGGGAUGAAAGUCGGCCUCUCGCAGAAGCUGACGUACGAGGAUGGGCCUGCGUCCUAUCAGCUGGUUGGUGGGGUAGCGGCCUACCAAGGCGACGACGGGUAGCUGGUCUGAGAGGAUGAUCAGCCACACUGGCACUGGAACACGGGCCAGACUCCUACGGGAGGCAGCAGUGAGGAAUUUUGCGCAAUGGCCGCAAGGCUGACGCAGCAACGCCGCGUGGGUGAAGAAGGCCUUCGGGUCGUAAAGCCCUGUCAGGUGGGAAGAAAGGUCAUGAGUGAACGCUUGUGAUUUGACGGUACCACCAGAGGAAGCACCGGCUAACUCCGUGCCAGCAGCCGCGGUAAUACGGAGGGUGCAAGCGUUAUUCGGAAUUACUGGGCGUAAAGCGCGUGUAGGCGGGGGUACAAGUCUGAUGUGAAAGCCCCGGGCUUAACCUGGGAAGUGCAUUGGAAACGGUAUCUCUUGAGUACUGGAGAGGAAGGGGGAAUUCCCGGUGUAGAGGUGAAAUUCGUAGAGAUCGGGAGGAAUACCAGUGGCGUAGGCGCCUUUCUGGACGGUUACUGACGCUGAGACGCGA
rnacentral:rRNA from 1 species